AACCCAAAACAACUAAGCUUCAUUCUCAAACUAGUUGGAUUUGGCUAUAUGGAUUAAUUUUCACCAUAAAUGUUGAGCCCAAAAUCAGGUCACUUCAGGAAUUGGUGAGUGAGAGUCCAGUGUGAUUUAUGUUUUAUUUUUGAUGGUGGGCUAGAGGACAUUUGGUAAUCAAGCAAGAGAGAGGUAGCAAGGAGUGCAUGCUACUUUCUAACAAAAUUUUUUGGUCAAGGAUCAGAUGCCUACAAUGUCAUAGCAUCUUAUUCAAAGGUUUUCAAGAGUGCUAUUAAAGAUGCCAGGCGAGGUGUGCCCCAAUCCCAAGAGGCGAGCACCCCUGUCACCUAGGUGCUGAGGCGCUAGGCCAGGCCAAGCGAGGCGUGCCUCUUUUAAAGUAACUUUAAAAAAAAAAAAAAUUUAUGUUUUAGGGUUUCUCUCUUCUUCUAUUCUCUCCUUCUCUUCUCUCCUCCUCCUCCUCCUCCACUCCUUUUCUCUUCUUCUCUCAUUCUCUCAUCACGCCAUCUUUUA
rnacentral:misc_RNA from 1 species